UGGUGCGGGUUUUGGUACCUGCCUUUUCCGAAUCGAUGGUAGUUGUCCCGGGGGCUGCCGCCGAAGGCUUGGUCUGCUCCACUCCACUGGUCGCAUUGGCCGAUGCCUGAGGCUG
rnacentral:SRP_RNA from 1 species